rfam:Arenibacter nanhaiticus strain CGMCC 1.8863 genome assembly, contig: Ga0066783_115
AUGUCGCGUUAGGGAUUGCAGCGGCAUCCUUUUUUAGCUGGCCUGGCCAGCUAAAAAAGAUAUAGCGGAAAGAGCGACCCGAUAAGGG